rnacentral:tRNA from 1 species
GGAAGGCAAGCGCGCCCGGUGGCGCGGCCGGGCUUCAAACCCGGUUGGGGGCGUCAGCCGCUCCCAGGCAGGUUCGACUCCUGUUGUCUUCCGCCA